AGGUUGGCGUUGUCUUUGUCUGCCUUCACCUGCCCAACAGACCAGAGAGUGGCUGGGUUACCAACACGAAUGGGUCAUGGAGGACCUGAGCCCUGGGAACAUGCCUCAGGACUACCUGGCAUGAUGACUCCUUGCUGUCCCCAGUCCACCUGGUCAUGCUGCUGCUCCAGUUUCAACUGUUCUGCCUGCGGCCAUGGAACCCUGACCUGUUCACCAGACGUGCUACCUUGUCCCGGACCUGCUGUUUUGGACUCUCUCUCUCUACCGCACUUGCUGUCUCUAACACUGAAUGAUCGGCUAUGAAAAGCCAACUGACAUUUACUCCUGAGGUGCUGUCCUGUUGCAUCCU